GAGUUUGAUCCUGGCUCAGAUUGAACGCUGGCGGCAUGCCUUACACAUGCAAGUCGAACGGCAGCACGGGAGCUUGCUCCUGGUGGCGAGUGGCGAACGGGUGAGUAAUACAUCGGAACGUACCCUGAAGUGGGGGAUAACGUAGCGAAAGUUACGCUAAUACCGCAUAUUCUGUGAGCAGGAAAGAGGGGGAUCGCAAGACCUCUUGCUUUAGGAGCGGCCGAUGUCGGAUUAGCUAGUUGGUGAGGUAAAGGCUCACCAAGGCGACGAUCCGUAGCGGGUCUGAGAGGAUGAUCCGCCACACUGGGACUGAGACACGGCCCAGACUCCUACGGGAGGCAGCAGUGGGGAAUUUUGGACAAUGGGCGCAAGCCUGAUCCAGCCAUGCCGCGUGAGUGAAGAAGGCCUUCGGGUUGUAAAGCUCUUUCGGUGGGGAAGAAAUUGCUUCGGUUAAUACCUGGAGUAGAUGACGGUACCCGCAUAAGAAGCACCGGCUAACUACGUG
rnacentral:rRNA from 1 species